rnacentral:miRNA from 1 species
CUCACCUCACUCAUUUACCUUCUCUUACAGAUCACUUUCCCUGCAUUGGACAGGGAUCUGUAAGAGAAAGUAAAUAAAUGAGGUGAG